rnacentral:rRNA from 1 species
CAGUCGCCGCGGUAAUACGGAGGAUCCAAGCGUUAUCCGGAAUCAUUGGGUUUAAAGGGUCCGUAGGCGGUCUUGUAAGUCAGUGGUGAAAGCCCAUCGCUCAACGGUGGAACGGCCAUUGAUACUGCAGGACUUGAAUUAUUGGGAAGUAACUAGAAUAUGUAGUGUAGCGGUGAAAUGCUUAGAGAUUACAUGGAAUACCAAUUGCGAAGGCAGGUUACUACCAAUUGAUUGACGCUGAUGGACGAAAGCGUGGGUAGCGAACAGGAUUAGAGACCCGCGUAGUCCCUGUCUCUUAUAC